CCUCACUCAAAAUCACACAAAUUUUUACCUUUUUUACUUCUUCUCUCUGUCCAUUUCUUUCCUUGCACCAGAUUUAGGAGCUAUGAUUCGGCUUUUUAAAGUAAAGGAGAAGCAGAAAGAACUUGCUGAAAAUGCCAAUGGAGGGGUACCCAUCAAAAAGCAAACUGCUGGAGAAUUACGUCUUCAUAAGGAUAUUUCUGAGCUGAA
rnacentral:misc_RNA from 1 species